rnacentral:rRNA from 1 species
GAUGAACGCUAGCUACAGGCUUAACACAUGCAAGUCGAGGGGCAGCGGGAUUGAAGCUUGCUUCAAUUGCCGGCGACCGGCGCACGGGUGAGUAACGCGUAUCCAACCUUCCGUACACUCAGGGAUAGCCUUUCGAAAGAAAGAUUAAUACCUGAUGGUAUGAUGAGAUUGCAUGAUAGCAUCAUUAAAGAUUUAUCGGUGUACGAUGGGGAUGCGUUCCAUUAGGUAGUAGGCGGGGUAACGGCCCACCUAGCCAACGAUGGAUAGGGGUUCUGAGAGGAAGGUCCCCCACAUUGGAACUGAGACACGGUCCAAACUCCUACGGGAGGCAGCAGUGAGGAAUAUUGGUCAAUGGACGAGAGUCUGAACCAGCCAAGUAGCGUGAAGGAUGAAGGUCCUACGGAUUGUAAACUUCUUUUAUAAGGGAAUAAACCCUCCCACGUGUGGGAGCUUGUAUGUACCUUAUGAAUAAGCAUCGGCUAACUCCGUG